AACAAAACCGGCAAACCCCCAAGUCUCUUUCUUCUCUGUCUGCCUCUGAAAUCGUGCUCUUGAAGCAAAACCCACUCAUUCUUACUCACACACACUCUCUCUCCCCUUCUCUUCUUUAAGCCCACAACGCCACCUUUACUCACAUUUCCCCUCUAUCUCUUUGCUCUACCAAACACUAGGGUUUUCCUCAUGAAUCCUGCAACUCACUCCCAACCGCACCUUGGCCAUGGCCUGCACUAUCUUCUAGUGCAGUCCUAUGAACCUUGCUCUGCUCAAAGGAGUUUUAGGUUCACAGACAGUAAUGCUGCUCCAAGGAAAUGCGCCCUUCCAACAGUGUACAGGAAAGAUGAUUGAAUCUCUUUAAGGUACUGUUGGGUUUAUGUAUUGGAGAUUGGAAUACAUAAGGUUUGAAGUGGGGAAUGAAGCCAUCGGUCCGUGUAGCAUAGUUAGAAUUUAGAAAUGUAGUAAAAUUGACAAUUUUUGUAAAAAUCGCUAUCAAUUUGAUAUUCUUUAUGGAUGAUAGCUUUUGUGCUGCAACUUCAAUUUUUGUUGACUCCGUAAGAGCAACUCAUUGCUGGAUCUAA